UGGAAAUGAUGAUCUUGAGAUUUGGGGUGGAGUGAAAAUGUCUGUAUAGCUUUUUUGAGUGCUAGUUAUUCUAGUAUUUGGAGGGGUGGUGGGGAAUGAGGCCUGUGGUUAUUACAAGGGGACCCUGAAUACACAUUGCUGUUAUUGGAGUGCAUCUGAGGAAUGUUGAACAAUAAAGGGCUUUACUGCAACAUUUCCGAUGAUUAGAGCCCUAAACUUGGUUCCCUUAAUAACCAGCACACCCUAAUAUCUCUGACAGGUGCAGAAUUAUGUCUCUGAUCUGAUCCCA